AGGGAAGCGAGCCUGCGAGGGGGAGCGAAUCCCAAAAAUAACGUCCCAGUUCGGAUUGUAGUCUGCAACCCGACUACAUGAAGCUGGAAUCGCUAGUAAUCGCGGAUCAGAAUGUCGCGGUGAAUACGUUCCCGGGUCUUGUACACACCGCCCGUCACACCAUGGGAGUCGGAAAUGCCCGAAGUCAGUGACCCAACCGUAAGGAGGGAGCUGCCGAAGGUGGAGCCGGUAACUGGGGUGAAGUCGUAACAAGGUAUC
rnacentral:rRNA from 1 species